rnacentral:rRNA from 1 species
AUUGAACGCUGGCGGCAGGCUUAACACAUGCAAGUCGAGCGGGGUGAUGGUGCUUGCACUAUCACUUAGCGGCGGACGGGUGAGUAAUGCUUAGGAAUCUGCCUAUUAGUGGGGGACAACAUCUCGAAAGGGAUGCUAAUACCGCAUACGUCCUACGGGAGAAAGCAGGGGAUCACUUGUGACCUUGCGCUAAUAGAUGAGCCUAAGUCGGAUUAGCUAGUUGGUGGGGUAAAGGCCUACCAAGGCGACGAUCUGUAGCGGGUCUGAGAGGAUGAGCCGACACAAUGGGACUGAGACACGGCCCAGACUACUACGGGAGGCAGCAGUGGGGAAUAUUGGACAAUGGGGGGAACCCUGAUCCAGGCAUGCCGCGUGUGUGAAGAAGGCCUUAUGGUUGUAAAGCACUUUAAGCGAGGAGGAGGCUCUUUUGGUUAAUACCCAAGAUGAGUGGACGUUACUCGCAGAAUAAGCACCGGCUAACUCUGUGCCAGCAGCCGCGGUAACAC